rnacentral:rRNA from 1 species
UAGGGAAUAUUAGAAAUGGACGAAAGUCUGAUCUAGCAACACCGCGUGUGCGAAGAAGGCCUUCGGGUCGUAAAGCACUUUUUGGAAGGAAUAGGAAGGAAUGUACUUCCAGAAUAAGUCUCGGCUAACUACGUGCCAGCAGCCGCGGUAACACGUAGGAGGCAAACGUUAUCCGGAUUUACUGGGCGUAAAGCGCGUGUAGGUGGUACUGUAAGUAGGGCGUGAAAGCUCCUGGCUCAACUGGGAGAGGCCGUUCUAAACUACAGAACUAGAGGAUGGUAGAGGGAGGUGGAAUUCCAGGUGUAGCGGUGGAAUGCGCAGAUAUCUGGAGGAACACCGGUGGCGAAGGCGGCCUCCUGGACCAUUCCUGACACUCAGACGCGAAAGCUAGGGUAGCAAA